GGGGACUCAAAUAAAAACAUUCCAGGGUUAUACGGUUAACGGUUUAUGAGUUAAAAAAACAUACCGACAAAUUUAUUCCGUAAAGGUACAUAACUCCUAUAAAAUUUCAUCGAAUCGCUUCGAUCCAAAUUAGCCAAAAAUUCCUGAGGAUGUAACGAACAAUUUGUAAAAAGAAUUUUGUCGCUUUCUUAUUUUGUUACGAAGGAGAUGCACACACAUGACAAACAGUGAAUAGGGAGAUAACUCUUACAAAGAAAAUGGUUCGGCUUAGCAGGGUGAAAUUUAAAAGCGCAUAAACUAUACGAUACAAUAUGAAAAAAAUCUAAGCGACAUAUUGCGAAACAAACAUUUAUCGCAAGAACAAAAUUUGGCGGAAAAAAAAAAAAAAUAAUAAUAAUAAUAAUCAGAACAAAUACAAUAGGCUUUCCACAGAAAAGUGGAAAGACCUAAUAAAUAUAAAGCAAUUGUUUUGAAAACAAUUGUUAGGCAGUCUUUCCCCUCUGAUGAAUGGAUAAUUGAUUUUUUUUAUUGAUUGAUUUGGAAAAAGGGGGGGGUUGGGUAUUUGUUUAUUUGUUUGUUUGUUUGCUUUGGUAUGGGGUCUAUAUUAUUAUGUUACCGGAGAAGUUUCAUGUUUAGUUUGGAAAGUUUUUCUUUUAUUUUAGAUACAGCGCGCGCGCAAGAUUGAGGAGACAUCAC
rnacentral:lncRNA from 1 species